CACUGCACCAAAUUUGAUGAGGUUUGGUGCAUUUAAAAGAAAAACUUAAACACUAGUGACAUCUGGUUUCGAAUGUUUUAUUUAGGUUGUCAAUUUGAUGCUGCCACUAU
rnacentral:lncRNA from 1 species